rnacentral:rRNA from 1 species
CGGGUGAGUAACACGUGGAUGAUCUGCCCAGAGGUGGGGGAUAACCCGGGGAAACUCGGGCUAAUACCGCAUGAUACCGAGAGGUCAAAGGGGGCUCGCAAGGGCUCUCGCCAUUGGAGGAGUCCGCGUCCGAUUAGCUAGUUGGUAGGGUAAUGGCCUACCAAGGCGACGAUCGGUAGCCGGCCUGAGAGGGUGAUCGGCCACACUGGAACUGAGACACGGUCCAGACUCCUACGGGAGGCAGCAGUGGGGAAUUUUGCGCAAUGGGCUAACGCCUGACGCAGCAACGCCGCGUGGAGGAUGAAGGUCUUUGGAUUGUAAACUCCUGUCAGCAGGGAAAAAGCGACUCGUGCUCAUACCACGGGGAGUUGAUUGUACCUGCAGAGGAAGCCCCGGCUAACUCUGUGCCAGCAGCCGCGGUAAUACAGAGGGGGCAAGCGUUAUUCGGAAUUAUUGGGCGUAAAGGGCGCGUAGGCGGCUUGGCAAGUGGAAGGUGAAAUCCCUCGGCUUAACCGAGGAACUGCCUUCCAGACUGCUUUGCUUGAGGCCGGGAGAGGCGGGUGGAAUUCCCAGUGUAGCGGUGAAAUGCGUAGAUAUUGGGAGGAAC